UACGGAGGAUGCGGGCGUUAUCCGGAUUUAUUGGGUUUAAAGGGUGCGCAGGCGGCGUGUCAAGUCAGCGGUAAAAUGUCGGGGCUCAACCCCGGCCGGCCGUUGAAACUGGCGUGCUCGAGUUGGAGAGAAGUAUGCGGAAUUCGUGGUGUAGCGGUGAAAUGCAUAGAUAUCACGAAGAACCCCGAUUGCGAAGGCAGCAUACCGGCUCCACACUGACGCUGAGGCACGAAAGCGUGGGUAUCGAACAGG
rnacentral:rRNA from 1 species